CCUACGGGAGGCAGCAGUGAGGAAUAUUGGUCAAUGGGCGCGAGCCUGAACCAGCCAAGUAGCGUGAAGGAUGACUGCCCUACGGGUUGUAAACUUCUUUUAUAAAGGAAUACAGUGAGGCACGUGUGCCUUUUUGUCUGUACUUUAUGAAUCCGUAUAGGCUAACUCCGUGCCAGCAGCCGCGGUAAUACGGAGGAUUCGAGCGUUAUCCGGAUUGAUUGGGUUUAACGGGAGCGUAGAUGGGUUGUUAAGUCAGUUGUGAAAGUUCGCGGAUCAACCGUAAAAUUGCAAGUGAUACUGGCAGUCUUGAGUACAGUUGAGGUAGGCGGAAUGCGUGGGGUAGCGGUGAAAUGCUUAGAUAUCACGAAGAACUCCGAUUGCGAAGGCAGCUUACUAAACUGCCACUGACAUUGAUGCUCGAAAGUGUGGGUAGCAAACAGGAUUAGAUACCCUUGUAGUC
rnacentral:rRNA from 1 species